UACGUAGGGUGCGAGCGUUAAUCGGAAUUACUGGGCGUAAAGUGUGCGCAGGCGGCCGCGCAAGUCGAGUGUGAAAUCCCCGGGCUUAACCUGGGAACUGCAUUUGUGACUGCAUAGCUAGAGUCUGUCAGAGGGGGGUGGAAUUCCACGUGUAGCAGUGAAAUGCGUAGAGAUGUGGAGGAACACCGAUGGCGAAGGCAGCCCCCUGGGAUAAGACUGACGCUCAUGUACGAAAGCGUGGGGAGCAAACAGG
rnacentral:rRNA from 1 species